GACGAAGGGGGCUAGCGUUGUUCGGAAUUACUGGGCGUAAAGCGAGUGUAGGUGGUUGUCCAAGUUGGAUGUGAAAGCCUUGAGCUCAACUCAAGAAAUGCAUUCAGGACUGGGCGGCUAGAGGACCGGAGAGGAUAGUGGAAUUCCCAGUGUAGUGGUGAAAUACGUAGAGAUUGGGAAGAACACCAGUGGCGAAGGCGGCUCACUGGACCGGAACUGACGCUGAGGCGCGAAAGCGUGGGGAGCAAACAGG
rnacentral:rRNA from 1 species